GACAUCGUGAGUUCUUCCGUCACCAAUGGAUUGGUAAUCCAGUGGGGUUUGCUCGCGUGGGUUCGAAUCCCAUCUAUGUCG